rnacentral:rRNA from 1 species
CCUACGGGGGGCAGCAGUGGGGAAUAUUGCACAAUGGGGGAAACCCUGAUGCAGCGACGCCGCGUGAAGGAUGAAGUAUUUCGGUAUGUAAACUUCUAUCAGCAGGGAAGAAAAUGACGGUACCUGACUAAGAAGCCCCGGCUAACUACGUGCCAGCAGCCGCGGUAAUACGUAGGGGGCAAGCGUUAUCCGGAUUUACUGGGUGUAAAGGGAGCGUAGACGGCAGUGCAAGUCUGAAGUGAAAGCCCGGGGCUCAACCCCGGGACUGCUUUGGAAACUGUGCAGCUAGAGUGUCGGAGAGGUAAGCGGAAUUCCUAGUGUAGCGGUGAAAUGCGUAGAUAUUAGGAGGAACACCAGUGGCGAAGGCGGCUUACUGGACGAUAACUGACGUUGAGGCUCGAAAGCGUGGGGAGCAAACAGGAUUAGAUACCCCGGUAGUC